CUCUUUGUCAGGAGGAACGGCUGAGGCCAGGCGACACCAGCACUGUUUGUACAUCUGUACAUCCCUCACAUGUCUCGCCCACAGCCCUUCUGGGCUUGUCUCCAUGGUAACCACAGCAGGGAUGGUGUCCUUGGCAGAGAUGGAGGGAUGGAUAGAGAGAGGAGAAAUGUCCGUGAUGGAAGUCAUGAGCUCCACUUAACCUCCUGGCCUAGAAUGAAAUCAGUGAGCUAGACAUAAAGCGACACUAGACCUUAGUGUAACUGUCCUGAAGCACAUUUCAGCAUCAGUAGAUCGAACACUGGUGACCUUGCUGUUGGUCAUUAUCUGUUACAGAUAAUCUGCUGCUCAAUGCCUACAGUCAUUCAGCCUAAACUGAUGCCUCAAUAACAACCUACCUGUGUGUGUGUGUGCGUGCGUGCGUGCGUGCGUGUGGACCCCCCUGGUCUUGAUAGCAGAGGGGCAGAUCAGAUGGAGAGGUCCUUCUGGCGUCAAAGGCUUUGCAUAUGUAGGCAUCCAGUGGCUAUUUCGAAGCUGUGGGUUAGUCGCCACACCAUGACGCUCUGGCAUGGUGCGCUUCUCAUUAUGUUAAUUAUGUAAAUAGUUAUGUAAAUAAAAUAAAUAUGCAAAUAUACA
rnacentral:lncRNA from 1 species